GCACCCGUAGCUCAGCUGGAUAGAGCGCUGCCCUCCGAAGGCAGAGGUC
rnacentral:tRNA from 2 species